CCGAGACACUGCACCGAGAUGCUGAACGGACAUUGGGCAUUUUAGAAGAAAGUGAAACUACAGAGGACAAAGCUAUAACUCUAAAUGAUGCAACAAUUGAGGACAUCCUCUAGUCCCACAACUUUGAAUAAUAUAUUCAGCGGAGGUCAUAUGAGGCUUAGAAGAGGGCAAAGCUUGGGGAGGAAUGAACAAAGGCUGCUAAACAAGCAGGCAGAGGUUGCUGAGAGGUAGUUGGAGGAAGUCAAGGAGAAGGUGCAUGGCACAUUAGAGAAGUUGUUAGUCGCCUAGAAGGAUAAUAAAACUUUGAAUGGUGAGAUGACAAUGUUGA